ensembl:snRNA U6 U6 spliceosomal RNA
GUGCUCAUCUGGGCAGCACAUAUGCUGACACUGGAACGAUACAGAGAAGAUUAGCAUGGCCCUUGUGCAAGGAGGACAUGCAAAUUUGUAAAGCAUUCCAGAUUUUA